AUGCUUCCUGCUGCGGACCAACUUUAUAGAGAUGCAGAUUUAAUUUUUGGUGUAACCCAAAUUUUGACUUCUGUCAUGUGUGCAUUUGCUACGUGCUUAAAAGUACAGGACAGCCUGUUCUGAAGGUCUCAGCUGAACUUUAGACUUAGAAGACUUCUAUACUUAUAAACCGCAUGAUUUGGAGGCGUUCAUAUUCCAUCACACGUCUGUUAUUUGGAGUUAUUUUAAUCCCCCCUGUGGGUUCUUAAUAAGAGGGAACAAGACGAUUGCUGACCUUCAGAAAUAGGGAACUGAAAUUAGGCUGCAAGAGCUCAUAUGUAUUUUCGGAGAAAGAUGACGAAUGUUUUGAUAUCUGUCUGAGACGUGGCUGCGGAGACGUGGCAUUAGUUUGAUACAGAUUUGCAGGACUAUAAGAGGAGGCAAUUCACCCUUCUUUUCUCAGAUCAGACUGAGUUCAGCCUAAACCCUUCUAGCUGGACUUAGUCUUUUCUCACCUUCUUUAUCUUUGAUUCCGGGCUCACUUGAAUACUUUGAACUUCUCUCAGGUUUUAUUCUUCUCAGAUAUGAUUAUUAUUAUAUUAUUUGUUAUUAUAUGAAUACUAUUAUAACUUUUGAUAUACAGGGUAUUGUUGUAUACUUUGUAUUAUUAUUUUUAACAUCUUGAUUACUUUUGAAUAUUAUAAUGCAUUUUGUAUUACUCUUAAUUGGGCAACAUCCAUCAUACAUGGAUUGCUUUUAAAACUAUAUUAAUUUUGGGAUUUGUAUUUUCUAUAUUUGAAGCUGAUUUUAAUACUUACUAAUCUGUUUGCAAGUUAUGAGUUGUAUUCUCAUUUCCUAUAUUCUUUGAAUAAAUUUGCAUACUAAAAUACCACCCCACCGUCUGACCAGGAUUGAAGUCUCUUUUUUGCAUCAAUUUUUGGAGGCACCGCUGGGAUCGUUGAAGUUUUCAUUUCAUUUAAGUUUUGAUGCAAAGCAAGGCAAAAUAAAGAGAGGUCCUGUACCUCCUCCAGUAUUCCAGUAUCCUCUUCGGAGAGAAAGAGAGAGCGGCACAGGCAAUUGUGACCCAGCUCGAGAAAGGGAUUGUGGUAAAAUGUGCCCCUCAAUGUGAUUCACCUGUGGCCUGUAAAAAAAGCCAGACGAUAACUAUUGGCUUACUAUAAAUUACACCGCAUUGAAUGCUGUGACCACCAAAGCAACCCCAUUGUUGCCAAUCAGUCAACCAUUUUAAAAAGAAA